rnacentral:lncRNA from 1 species
CCUGGCCUCAUUCAGUGGGUUACGGAUCCAGCGUUGCCAUGAGCUGCAGUAGAGGUUGCAGACAUGGCUUGGAUCCUGCAUUGCUGUGGCUGUGGUGUAGGCCAGCAGCUGUGGCUCCAGUUUGAUCUCUAGCCUGGAAACGUCCAUAUGCCUCAGGUGCCCUCAGGUGCAACCCUAAAAAGCAAUCAAUCAAUCAAUACGGCAGACUGACCAGAGAAUGUGUGAGAGCAUCCCAGGAGAGGUUCCAGCCCUGGGGCUUCCUGGGCAGGUGGCAGGACCAAGAGUGUGGGAAGUUGUGUGAAGGGAACUUGACAAUGGGAGACAGAACACGAGGAUCCAGUGGGUUACUUCUCCCUGCCUGCCUCCUGAAGGGUGGUUCUGAGAAGCUUCAUGUCCACACAGCCUGCCCGGAGACAGUGCACAGGACCAACCAACCAAUCUGCCUUUCUGGAGAGGCUGAGACAAAUCAGGAAAGUCAUGCCGCAGUUCCUGGCAGAUCUGUCAAACAUACUCCCACGUGGGUUUCUAAUCCAGAACCAGCUCGGAUCAGCAAGGGCGAGACUUCCUGCCUGAAGAACACCUACCAAGGAGCCUGUGUCAGAUCAUUUGGGGACUGUCAGCAUGUCUGCAACUCUGUCACAACAAUUGGAGAGUAAUUUCAACAGAAAGAACAAAAAGCCUGAUACAGGAAAUCUUCACGUAUUGAGAUACGGAAGUCCUUCUGACUUACAUAUGCAUUAACUUGAAUUUCAUGCUAACUAAAAUAGCCCAUUUGUGGCCUAUUCACAUAUCUUGUGCGUCUGCUUUAAUUAUUAAAGAAAAGAGCCCAUGGACCAGAAGUAAAGAAUGCCCCUGUUAAAAAUGAAGACUAGGAGUUCCCGCUGUGGCUCAGCAGGUUAAGAACCCAACAUAGCGUCCGUAAGGAUGUGGGUACAAUCCCUGGUCUCACUCAGUGGGUUGAUGAUCUGGUGUUGCCAUGGCUAUAGCGGAAGUCCAUAUUAAAAAAAAAAAAAAGGAAAGAAAGAAAGAAAAAGAUUCUCGAGGCAUGGGCAUCAAAGGACAUUCGCAGGGCUCUGUCUUAACUGAUGAGCAAAUUUAUUUAAGCCCACACAGAUCUGAGCAGUCCUGUCAACGGACAAGCCCCGUGCAUUCACUUGGUGAAUCUUUAUGGGGACAUGUGUCGAAUCGGGCACAGUGUUGGUCUCAGACCAUGUGGUCUCAUGGAGCCCACAAGAGCACAGGGCUUGUGUCCAGCUUGCCUGGAGACAUAAAGUUGUACAGGUGCUCAAACUCUUGGGGUGCUCUGUAAUUCAGCCUAUUCUGGCUGAAUAAGAUCUAUAGAACUUACAUAUGAUAGCAGCGCUGGCAAAGUCCACGGCAGCAGCUGUAAUCAAACACAUUGGCAUUUCCAUAGUAAAACAAAUAGUCUCACUAAGUGGGAUAAAUAAAAAUUUUACAUAGGAGUUCCCUGGCA